rnacentral:rRNA from 1 species
AACGCGAAGAACCUUACCCAGGCUCGAAAUGCAGAGGCUACCGGCAGAGAUGUCGGGUUCCGCAAGGACUUCUGUAUAGGUGCUGCAUGGCUGUCGUCAGCUCGUGCCGUGAGGUGUUGGGUUAAGUCCCGCAACGAGCGCAACCCUUAUCAUUAGUUGCCAACGCGUAAUGGCGGGGACUCUAGUGAGACUGCCUAGGUUAACUAGGAGGAAGGUGAGGAUGACGUCAAGUCCGCAUGGCCUUUAUGUCUGGGGCUACACACGUGCUACAAUGGUCGGUACAGAAGGCUGCAAGACCGCAAGGUGGAGCAAAUCCGUAAAACCGAUCUCAGUUCGGAUUGUAGUCUGCAACUCGGCUACAUGAAGUUGGAAUUGCUAGUAAUGACGUGUCAGCAACAACGUCGUGAAUACGUUCCCGGGCCUUGUA